UUAGAAAGGUACCACGCGUGGAUUACCCAUUUUCCAAGAAUUAGAAUAUAAUAAAACACUCUUAACAGUGAAACUACAUGAAGCCUAAUUGAAUCUUUCUUUGAUGAUUCAAAAGACACUUCAGCUUCUUGCGGAGCCUCCAGGCCGUCAUUAUGAAUGUCAGUUAUCAUUGUGCCGUAGACAUGGAGGAGUGCGGGCUAAUGGGAAGGUCUGCUUAGCAGAUGCCCGGGAAGCAGGGGGCUGGGGGUGCUUCCUGCGGGGGCGUCUCCCGGCACCCAUCGCGCAGGAAGAGCGUGGGGCCCGGUGGGCACGUGGUGGUCUUGUGUCAGACGCUACAGUGCUGUUGGACAAACCCAGGAACGAGGGAGUGUGUGCUUGCCCGUACAUGCGUGUGCCCGGGCGGGUUGUCUAAGCGACCCUAAACAAGUCACCGGAUUACUAUGGGUCUGUUUUCCUACCUAGAAAAGGGGAGGGUCGGACGAGAUCUGUGGUGUCAAAUUGGAAUGGAAAUGAGAGCCGGGGAACCGUCCAUAAGGAUCCUUGCCUUGCAUUGUGACUUGGAAAACCUCAUAUUAACAUUAUCUUUUAUGGUAUUUUAAUUUUUUCAUUAAAUAUUAAAUUUAUUGAUUUAUUUGUAAAUAUUAUUUAUAUAUUAUGAAUAAAUAUUCAUUCUUGCUUUCUGAUCUGGUUCUGGAGCACUGAAGAUCACGUAUUUGAUAUCUGUGGGGACCUUUCUGACUUGAAAUUGAUGAUCUAUCCUAAUUCUAGAAUCCAAGGAUCAUUGACUCUAGAACCAUGCGGUCCAGACUUAGAACUGGAAGAGAUCUUAGAACCCCAGAGUAUGGGGGCCGGGAAGGACUUUAGAACACAGUAGCAGGCAGUCGGAGUUAAGUGACAUGUCCAAGAUUAUUCUGCUGUAAGUGUCAAAGGUCUAUUGGUGGAUUUGAGCUCCUCCUGACUCCCAGCCUGCCAGCCACUGCACAGCCCGGUGGAGACGGGCGGAACCUGGGCGUCAGGAGCAUCCUUGAGGUCUUGUUCAGCAGCUGCAGAGGAGGAGGAAGCCAGUCCUGACGCAUUUCUUGUGUCCCUACUAUGUGCUAAGCACUGGGAAUACAGAGGCAAAAAUACCUAGGGUGGGAGGGGCAUCGAUUCAGUCAGAAGUGACUGCAGACGCCACGUGGUCCCCUUAUUCCUAAACCAAAGAAGCUGAAUCCUACAGAGCUUCAAAGAUCAUUCUGGGAACCCGUAAGCGAGCGAGGAUUCUCGUUCCCGGUGACCCAGAGAAUUGUCUGCAGCGUUCACUCAGGGAGAACGCCUCCGUUCUCGGGGGCAUGUGGUUGAGUCCAUGCACCUGCCCCAAGUUGGCCCUGACCUUUCCGUCUGCAAAGUAGGGGUCUCCGACACUGCAAAGAAGAGACAAUUUUUAAAAAUUUAACUCAGUAGCAGUGGUGGUCAAACAUUUGGCUUAAUUCUUUGUGACCCCAUUUGGGGUUUUCUCACCAUCUCCUUCUCUAGCUCAUUUGACAGAUGAGGAAACCGAGGCAGGCAGGGUCGAGGGACUUACCCAGGGUCACCCAGCUAGACCAUGUCUGAGACAGGAUUUGAACCUUUCUGAUUUCAGACCAGCACUCCCCGCACUAUGGCGCCACCUGGCUGCCUUAAGAGCAGUGUAAUCAGAUGCAUAUCAUUUUGUGGGUUUUUUUUUUUUUAAAUCCAAAACGUCCUAAAUUUAUUAAAAAAUCUUUAAAUUUUAUUUUACUGAUUUAGCAGAUGGUUACAGAGGCAUUGUGGGACAGUGGAACUAAUAAUAAUGACUAAUGUUUAUGUGUAAGCUCAAGGCUUAUUUAUAAUGCACUGUACAGAUAUUAUCUAUUGUCCUAAUUCCAUAUAUUAUCUAUUUUACCCUAACACUGUCCCUGAGAGGGGGUCAUUUCAUAGGUGAGUGAACUGAGGAAGCCAGAAAUGAUGUGAUUUCCCGAAGAGCACUUAGCUAGCAGAGCCAGAAUCUGAACUCAUCUUGCUCUGUAAUUGUACCCCCCGGCUGGAAAGUCAGGCCCUGAGAGAACAGAGACCUGCUUCUCAGGCCUGGCCCUCCCACCAGGGAUCUCUGUGACCAGCAAUAAUGCUGUAUUCAGCACAUAGUAGGUGCUUCCUUGAAUGCUGGCUGUGACUCCCUCCCUCCAGGGGUCUCUGUGACCAGCAAUGAUUCAGCACAUAGUAGGUACUUCCUUGAAUGCUGACUGUGGUUCCCUCCUUCCAGGGAUCUCUGUGACCAGCAAUAAUGCUGUAUUCAGCACAUAGUAGGUGCUUCCUUGAAUGCUGACUGUGAUUCCCUCCCUCCAGGGAUCUCUGUGACCAGCAAUAAUACUAUAUUCAGCACAUAGUAGGGGCUUUCUUGAAUGCUGACUGUGAUUCCAUCCCAUCAGAGAUCUCUGUGGUUGCAAUGAUUGAGCAUAUAGUAGGUGCUUCUUUGAAUGCUGACUGUGACUCCCUCCCACCAGGGUCUCUGUGAUUAGCAGUAACAUUGUGCCCAGUACAUAGUAGGUGCUUCCUUGAAUGCUGGCUGUGAUUCCCUCCCACCACUGGUCUCUGUGACCAGCAUUGAUUCAGUACAUAGUAGGUGCUUCUGUGAAAGCUGUAACUCCCUCCUUCUAGGGGUUUCUGUGAUUAGCAAUAAGCCAGCUCAUAGUAGAUGCUUCCUUGAAUGCUGGCUGUGACUCCCUCCCUCCAGGGGUUUCUGUGAUUAGCAGUAACUCAGCACGUAGUAGGUGCUUCCUUGAAUGCUGGCUGUGAUUCCCUCCCACCACUGGUCUCUGUGACCAGCAUUGAUUCAGUACAUAGUAGGUGCUUCUUUGAAAGCUGUAACUCCCUCCUUCUAGGGGUUUCUGUGAUUAGCAAUAACCCAGCGCAUAGUAGGUGCUUUCUUGAUUGCUGACUGUAGCUCCAGACAUAUCCUUUCUGAUUUCUGCCAGAUGCAGGGGUUUGACUGGUCGCCCUUCCAGGUCCCAGUUCCAAGACCUUCUGAGAUGCGAUGAAAUCUCUCGGGCUGGUUUUCGGUGCUGUUUUCCCUGCUCUCGCGGGGGAGCCUGGGUGAGGAGGUGAUUGUCCAGGAGGGUCUUGGAUGUGGCCAGGAAGGAGCUGGUGCGUCUGGGUCUGGUCCCUUUCGCAUCUUUGUCUGAGCCAGCUGCCCUUUCACCACCAUUGGCUGAGCCCCAGGCUUGGACCCUCCCCAGCACAAGUGGCCAGGAAAGGGGCCUUGGGCCCGUGUUGGAGGCAGCUCUCCCAGCUCUGCCCUCCCAGACCCUCCUCAUCCCAUUCCCGACUUCUCCUUCACUUUGUCUUCUGGAUCUUGGACCACUCGCCUUGCUCAGCCUUUUACUUUGGUCAGUCCAGCAAUAAGCACUAAUUAAGCACCUGCUGUGUACUGGGCACCGUGCUAAGUGCAGCCGGUGCACAAAGAGGCAAAAGUCAGAUUCUGCUCUCCAGAAGUUUGCAGCUGAAGGCAGGCUGCCUGCUCUGAUUUAAUCGGGGCACGGGCUUGCUCUGACCCCGUCAGGUACAUUUUCUCACCCUUGGCUCUGUGGAACACUGGAAACAGUGCUGGAUCUGAGUCAGAGGUCCUUGGUUCAAAUUGUGACUUUCCUAGCACUGAUUAGUGGUUAAUAUUACUAAACUAGCAUUUAUAGGGCACUUUACAAAUAUCUCUUUUUAUCCUUUGAGGUUGAAGCUACGUUACCCCAUUUUAUAGAUGAGCAAGCUGAGGCAGACAGAUUUAGUCAGGAAGCCUCUGAGGCUAGAUUUGAACUCAGGCCUCCCAGACUCCCAGUCCUCCAGACUUUGCUGCUUCAUACCUGGAUGAUGCAGUGGAUGGAGCCCUGGCCCCGAGGCAGGAGGGCCUGAGUUCAAAAAUGGCCCCAGACGCUUAACACUUGCUGGCUGCGUGACCCUGGCGAGUCCCUUAACCCCACCUUGUGACCUGACUCCUGUGGGCCUGCGUUUCCAGUAAAAUGUUAGACCAGACUCCGGUGUGGCAGUAAUGGCUGGGGGCCUCGGUUGCUUGUCUGUCAGUGGGUGAGGGGGCUUAGAUGCAAGGUCGCUUUCUGCUUCUCCCCGCCUGUGAUUCUAGACUUCUCCUCGGCUUCCCCUUCACCCCGUGUUCUGAGUCAGGGUCUCAGUGACCAUCAGGAGGCCUUGGUCCCUGGCUGGGUGACCUUCCCCCUCUGCGGGCCUCAGUUUCCUCACCUGUCCAAUGGGCGCGCUGCCGACCUGUCAGAAUCACGCGGAGGUUGCCGUGAUGGAAGGCUCCCCGGGCCAGCUCGGGGCCUUCCCCGCUCGGCCUGGUUUGGGAGCUCCUCUGGGCCGGCCCACGCCCUGGGCUGCGCCCUCAGCUCCGCGAGCCGGUGCCAUCCCUAGCACCGGGGGCCGGGCCGCUGACCAGCGGAGAGGAGGUGGGAGGAGAGCGUCUGUGAGCCUCACCUUGGUUGUCAGGGUUUUCCUGGGGGCUGGCGAGUAUUUCCAGGCUCCAUAAAUCAUCCCCCCUCCCCAGGAGCGCGGACCUCGGCGAGCCCUAAUUAUGCAGUUAGGCACAAGGAAAUGAGGCUCCCGGGCUCCCGGCUCCGAGAUUUCCUUUGGCGCGGCUCUCGCCCGGCUCCCGGCGUGCUCUCUUUCUCCUGGCCGGGCCCGCAUUUAUCUUUCCUGCAGCAGUGUUUAAAGUGAAGAGGGAGUAUCAGGAGAGUUUGAUAGGAUCCAAUUAAAUUCCUGCAGAUAAAAUAAUGAUGAAUUGCAGUUGAGCCCCAGCGAGACAUGAUGUACAUUACUUCAGUCCCCAAAGAGCUGGAGAGGAGUUGAGGUCAUCAACGACAGAAAAAUAGGACACAGCUGCAGCCGCUCCCCAGUUAGAGGGAUGCCGGGAGGGGAGGGGGCUCACCUGAGUGCAGGAGCCUGCGGGGGAGGGCCGGGGGUCUGGGAAGAGCCCAUGCCAGCGAAAGUGUGUGUGUCUGAGAGAGAGGGAAGGAAGAGAGAAGAGGGGAGAGAAACAGCAAAGAGAGAGAAAGAAGGAAGAGGCAGGAACAAAAGGGGAAAAAGAGAAAGAAAGAAAAAGAGAGGAAAGAGAGAAAGGAACAGAAGAAAGAAUGGAAGAGAAGAGAGAAAAGGAGGAAAGAGAAAGGAAGAGAAGAGGAAAAAGGGAGAAAGCGAAAGAAAGGGAGGAAAGAGAGAAAGGAGGAAAAGAAAGGAAAGAGAAAGGAAGGGAAGAAAGAAAAGAGGAAAGAAAAAGGAAGGGAGGGAAAAAAGGAAGAAAAAUCAAGAAAAGAGAGAAUGGGAGGAAAAGAGAGGAAGGGAGGAAAAAGAGGAAAGAGAAAAAAGGAGGAAAGAAUGGAAGAGAAGAGAGAAAAGGAGGAAAGAGAAAGGAAGGGAUGAGAAAAAAGGGAGAAAGAGAAAGGAAGGGAAGAGAAAGAAAGGGAGGAAAAGGAAGAAAAAGAGAGGGGAAAGAUGAAGGGAAGAAAGAAAAGAGGAAAGAGAAAGGAAGGGAAGAGAAAAGGAGGAAAGAGAAAGGAAAGGAAGAGAGAAAGAAAGGAGGGGAAGAGAGAAAUGGAGGAAAGAAAGAAGGAAGAGAGAAAAAAAGGAAGAAAAAGAGAGGAAACAGGAAGGGAAGAGAAAGGAAAAAAAUAAAGGGAAGAGAGAAAAGGAGGAAAGAGAAAGGAAGGGAGGAGAAAAAGGAGGAAAGAGAAAAAAAGGAAGAGAAGUGAGAGAGGAAAGAAAGAGAAAGGGAAGGAAGAGAGAGAAGGGGAGGAAAGAAAUAGGGAAGAAAAAGAGGGAAGGAGUUAGAAAAAGAGCCAGAAAAGCAAAAUGUAUUCGUAUGAAGCAAUUAUAACAAUGUAUAGAAAACUGGUGUUGACAUUGGGGAGGGGGAAAGGGGGAAAGGAGAACAAGCAUUUAUUAAGCACAUACUGUAUACCAGCACAGCCAAGUGCUUUACAAAUAUCGUGAUCCUUGCAAUGAGCCUUUGAUUCCUUAUCCCCAUUUCCCAAUUGAGGCGACAGAAAGCUGACCCUCGGAGGCUCACAGAGGGCUUUCUCUCCAUCCGGCAUCUGGUCUCGCUGGAACUUCCCCGCCUCCCUGCUGAUCAGUUGAAGGCCAGCUUUUUUCCCUCCCAAGCCCCCAGCAGCUCCCCUUCCCCAGCACGCAGAGUUCUGGGUGAUGUCAGCUAGAUGCCCACAGAGACCCCCAAAUUUGGGGGGCGCUAAUAGCCGAGGGCUUGCACGUGCACACCCCAGAAUGCCUGUGGCGCGGGCAGGAGAAGGGGUGUGCCUGUGUGUGUGCGGGCCGCCCCUCAGGGCUCUCUGUAGAGAGACUUGUAGUCUGAAUUGAGCUGUCCGCACUCUGCCCACUCUCCCAGGCAGCGGAAGCUUCCUGAGGGCAGGAACCUUGUACUUUUUGUCUUUGUCUCAUUAGCAUCCAGUGUGACAUCUUGCCCGUAGCGGGUUAAUGAUAAUAAUGGUGACGGUAAUAACUGGCAGUCUUAAGGUGCGUUGGAACAGAAUAUUGCACAGAGUCUCAUUUUCUUCCUACAGCGCUGGGAGGCAGAUGCUAAAUAAAUAAAUAAAUAAAUGCUUUUUGAAUAAGUGAAUGAGUGAAGAAUACUUGUGGGAAUGAGCGAGUAUGUAAGUGUAUGUAUGUGCGGAGGAGAAGGAGA